AGCAGCCGCGGUAAUUCCAGCUCCAAUAGCGUAUAUUAAAGUUGUUGCAGUUAAAAAGCUCGUAGUUGAAUUUCGGGGUCAGUAGGUUGGUCGUGCCACCGGUACGUACUGGUCUCACUGAUUCCUCCUUCCUGUAGAACCGUAAUGCCAUUAAUUUGGUGUUGCGGGGAAACAGGACUGUUACUUUGAAAAAUUAGAGUGUUUAAAGUAGGCUAACGCUUGAAUACAUUAGCAUGGAAUAAUGAAAUAGGGCGAUCGAUCCUAUUUUGUUGGUUUCUAGGAUUGACGUAAUGAUUAAUAGGGAUAGUUGGGGGCAUUAGUAUUCAAUUGUCAGAGGUGAAAUUCUUGGAUUUAUUGAAGACUAACUACUGCGAAAGCAUUUGCCAAGGAUGUUUUCAUUAAUCAAGAACGAAAGUUAGGGGAUCGAAGACGAUCAGAUACCGUCGUAGUCUUAACCAUAAACUAUGCCGACUAGGGAUCGGAUGAUGUUAAUUUUAUAAUGACUCAUUCGGCGCCUUAC
rnacentral:rRNA from 1 species